rnacentral:rRNA from 1 species
GAGGUGCCGAGGUGGCGACCAAAUUGGUAAGCAGAGGUAGCGACCGAAUAGGUAAGCGGGGGUGGUUCUACGUAGACGUAGGUAGAGAGGAUAAGAGAGCGAAGUAGAGAGUAGGAGAGAGUUUAGAGAGACUGACCACCUGAGGCACACCCGCCUCGCUUCACCCUCGGUUCGGUCGGCUCGGCCGGGGAGAGGAGAAGCGGAAGGAGCGUCGCCAAGCGCUGAACGGGGAAGAGCGAGGUAGAGAGAAAGAGUAGGGCACGAAGGUGGCUAUACGCGUCGGUUGCCCUAAAUCGCGAUACUCGGCCGACGAGCCGCUUCAAGCAAGGGUCCAACGGCUGCACAAGUUAGCCCACUGACGUACGUCCGGGCUUACACUUCGGAGGCUUCAGCGACCACCGGGGGCAAGGUGUACUCGGCUACACUUCGGUUCAGCGACCGUGGGGCAAGAUCUGGUGGUCUAGGCCUCACGGCGGCUGUCAAGGACAUGGGUAGUGCGAGCGCAGUUGCUGGUGGUUCAACGACCGUGGGGCAAGGUCUGGUGGUCUAGACCUCGCGGCGGCGGCCUAGAGCAGGGGUAGUGCGGACGCAGUUGCUGGCGACGCCUUGGGAGGAGCCGAGGAGGAGUUGCUAGGUACCGUUCUUGGCCCUGUCGCGGCACGGGAAGGGGCAGAGGUUGUGACGUCACGAGCGCGGCAGCCACGACAGCAUAAAGUAAUAGUAAGCUUAUACACACCUAAACUGGGGAAGCAACGGAAAGGUAGUACAACACAAUAAGAAAAAACUCAGACUAAGAGUACGGACCACGCUUAAGAGAUAUUUAGCACCAGUCCUAAACAAGGAAGCAAGGGCUAAUAUUAAGCAACUUAGCGGGGCAUCUAGGGCAAACGCACGCACGCACUACCAACCCCGCACUGGUACCCAACUUAUAUAUAUAAUAUAAUAUAUAUAUAUAUUAUAUAUCCAUUUCUAUUUCUAUUUCUAGAUAAAUCACAACAUCAACAGCUACUACGGAGAAUGUUUGAACUGGUUUGAUACGUCCCAAACUAGAGUCUCCUCCCUCGUCUUUUAUUGUGCUAAGGUUUUUGAAAAAAUACACAAGCAUACGGAUUGUAUGGAUUGUAGCACUUGUGUUGACCCGGCUUUCUGUCAGAACUGUUGUUCUAACCGAACCACACUCUGUUCUUAGCAUAAGAGGGACUCGGUGGGAGUCUACCGUUCUUAGCAUGAAAGUACGGUUUGGUGUGCAGCUUUCGUCUCGUCGACUGUCCCGGACGGUGAUUGAUCACAAGAGAACCUAUUUCCAUCGCAACGCAACGGAGGCUGCAACCGUAUAGCGGUGAGAGUUCCGUCUUACCGGGGUACGUCGUAGGGUUAGAGGUACACUAUCAAGCCGCUGCCGCUCGAGUCGAAAGUAGGCGCCCUACCCGUUGUGGCCCGGCGGCUCCUACCGCAGCACCACGUCCGUGACGCCGCGCCCGUAGCGCCGCGGCGGCCGCCCCGGCUCGAGGCCGCAGGCCACGCGCAAGACGGCGGCGCACUGCGCGCACCUCGCCGUGGCGUCGCACCCGUCGCGUAGCUCGCGCGAGCGCGGGGGCAGCCGCCACUCGAGCCGGUCCGAGCUCGACGGCCGGCCGAUGGGCCGCAGGGCGCCGUUCUUCGCACGGCAGGAGCAGCCGCAGUCGAUGUGCCCGUGGAGGAUGCUCGAGUUCCCGUGCCAGUUCCUGCAGCUCGACUACUCCUUGGAGGAGACGCUGUUCAAACCGAAGGGGCCGCUGAGGUAGGAGCAGGAGUGGCUCCUCUCACUGCUGCGCUCGUCUCACGGCUGCUCCCUCUUGGACGAUGUCCGCUACGCCACCGAGCAGCGUCCUACGCUGCGGCCGCUGAGUGACCACAAGGUGAAGAGGCCCGUGCCGCACGUCUUCGACCUGUGCCGGCCGCUGCUCCACCUGCCCAUGUUGCUCCGCGACACGGGCGACCUGAAGCUCCUGUUCCCGUUCUAGGACCUGCUGCUCUAGUUGCUCUGGUAGCAGGCCGGCGACCCGGGGCCGCACUUCGAGGUGCGGUAGUAGCUGUGGACGGUGUCGCCGUGGUAGGAGCUGGAGGCGAUGGAGACGGCGGAGAGGUCCUGGCCCAUGACCGUCACCCUCUUGGUGCAGGCAGGCCCAUUCGGCUUUCCGUGGUUGCCUCCGGAGCGGUAGAGGUAGUCGCCGACGUUGCUGCUGGUCUUCAGUAGCCUCAGCUCGCAGGUCCCCAAGAGGCUAUGGCGACGGUAGCCGCGGUACUGCCUGUCGAAGUAGUCCCGGCACCUCAGGCUCGGCCCCUGCUGGAUGCCCGCCGACGACUCACGCUACUCCCGCUGCUAGGCGCUGUCGGUCCCCUGGCCGGCGGCGGAGGGGCCCUCCUAGCCGAGGAAGCAGGCGUUCUACUAGUGAAGGUCGCGGCACGUCCUCGGAGUCGAGACGAGAAGUCUCUACAAGCUGUAGAUGGCCUUCGGGAAAGAGGACACUGAGACGGAGCGCGGCCUCAAGAAGCCUUAGUACAUUAAGCAAACGGAAUGGUUACUACGACAGCAGGACAGGACACGACGUGACGUGAACACUCGUUUCACUUGCCCUGUAAAGUCAACAUGACGUCAUCUUAGUUAUAGUGACUCAUUAUAGUGUACAAAGGUCUUUGUUGUAAAGUCAACGACU